GACGAACGCUGGCGGCGUGCCUAAUACAUGCAAGUCGAGCGAAUCGAUGGGAGCUUGCUCCCUGAGAUUAGCGGCGGACGGGUGAGUAACACGUGGGUAACCUGCCUGUAAGACUGGGAUAACUUCGGGAAACCGGAGCUAAUACCGGAUAAUUUCUUUUCUCGCAUGAGGAGAGAUGGAAAGAUGGUUCUGCUAUCACUUACAGAUGGACCCGCGGCGCAUUAGCUAGUUGGUGAGGUAACGGCUCACCAAGGCGACGAUGCGUAGCCGACCUGGGAGGGUGAUCGGCCACCCUGGGACUGAGACACGGCCCAGACUCCUACGGGAGGCAGCAGUAGGGAAUCUUCCGCAAUGGACGAAAGUCUGACGGAGCAACGCCGCGUGAGCGAAGAAGGCCUUCGGGUCGUAAAGCUCUGUUGUUAGGGAAGAACAAGUACGAGAGUAACUGCUCGUACCUUGACGGUACCUAACCAGAAAGCCACGGCUAACUACGUGCCAGCCGCCGCCGUAACAC
rnacentral:rRNA from 1 species